rnacentral:rRNA from 1 species
AUUGAACGCUGGCGGCAUGCUUUACACAUGCAAGUCGAACGGCAGCGCGGGCUUCGGCCUGGCGGCGAGUGGCGAACGGGUGAGUAAUACAUCGGAACGUGCCCAGUAGUGGGGGAUAGCUCGGCGAAAGCCGGAUUAAUACCGCAUACGACCUGAGGGUGAAAGCGGGGGAUCUUCGGACCUCGCGCUAUUGGAGCGGCCGAUGGCAGAUUAGCUAGUUGGUGGGGUAAAGGCCUACCAAGGCGACGAUCUGUAGCUGGUCUGAGAGGACGACCAGCCACACUGGGACUGAGACACGGCCCAGACUCCUACGGGAGGCAGCAGUGGGGAAUUUUGGACAAUGGGCGAAAGCCUGAUCCAGCAAUGCCGCGGGUGUGAUGAAGGCCUUCGGGUUGUAAAGCACUUUUGGCGGGAACGAAAAGGACUGUGCCAAUACCACGGUUCGAUGACGGUACCCGCAGAAUAAGCACCGGCUAACUACGUG